AUGGGUCGGUCGCCAUCCUCCACCGGUGUCGCCGGCGUGAAGAAGGGCCCGUGGACGGUAGAGGAGGAUAUACUGCUCAUAAACUACUUCCAGAGGCAUGGCAACGGCGGCAACUGGCGAACCUUGCCCCAGUGCGCCGGCCUGAACCGCUCCGGCAAGAGCUGCCGCCUCCGCUGGACCAACUACCUCCGCCCCAACAUCAAGCGCGGAACCUUCACCGACGAUGAGGAGAAAACCAUCAUACACCUCCACUCCAUUCACGGGAACAAGUGGUCGGCGAUCGCGACUCAUUUGCCGGGGAGAACAGGCAAUUUUAUCAAGAAUUACUGGAACACGAACCUGCGCAAGAAGCUGCUCCAGAUGGGCAUCAACCCCGUCACGCACCGACACACUGACCUCAGCAUGCUCAAGGGGCUCCCCGGCCUGCACGCCGCUGCCCCCGGUAAUAGCCUCUCCUCUGGUGUCAGCAUGGGCACCAGGGCACAGCCCCACACCAACGCGGCCAGCUUCGCCGGGAGCAGCUCGGACAUGAACACUCUCGGGAUCAAGGACAAAGCAGCCAGCUUCGCCGGGAGCAGCAGCUCGGACAUGACUACUCUCGGGGUCAAGGACGAAGCCGCCAGCUUCACUGGCAGCCACUCAGACAUGAAACCUCCCAGGAUCAAGGACAAAGCCGCCAGCUUUACCGGCAACUACUCGAAGAUGAAACCUUUCAGGAUCAAGGACGAAGCACUCAGCUUCACUGGCAGCUACUCGGACAUGAAUUCUCUCAGGAUCAAGGACGAAGCCACCAGCUUCACAGGCAGCUACUCGGACAUUAAAUCUGUGAGUCUCCAGGACGAAACCACCAGCUUCACUGGCAGCUACUCGGCCACCGGCACUGGCUGGGACAUGAAUGCUCUCUCCGGGCUCCAGGCCGACCCCGACAAGUUCCAGCUCCUCCAGGACCAUUGUUGGGUGAUCAGUGCUUCGUUGGGCGCCAUGAGAGCCCUUGUUGAGAAGCUGGACAUGCUGCUGCUAGCUUAUUCAUCUCCUCAGGAAUGCUCCUCCAAGAGGGUGAAGGAUGGGAUGCACCUUCUCAAAGAUGACCUUGAAGAGAUAAGCUCCUACCUUGAUGAACUUUUAGAGGUUGAGGACCCUCCCCCGAUGGCCAUGUGCUGGAUGAAUGAGGCACGCGAACUGUCUUAUGACAUGGAGGAUUACAUUGACAGCUUAUUAUUAUGUGUGCCACCUGACCAUUUCAACAAAAAUAAGAAGAGGAAGAAGAAUAAAAAGAAGAUAAUAAAGAAGAGGCUCAAGUGGCACAGACAGAUCACAUACAUUGCGCAAGUGUCAGAACAUGGUGUCAGGACCAGCAAACGCAUUCAUGUUACUGUUGUCCCUCCUCUUCCCAAAAAGUCCAAGAUUGCGGAAACAAUAUCAGAAUUCAGGAUCUAUGUCCAGGAGGCAAUUGAACGGCAUGACAGGUAUAAGCUCCAUUGUUGCAGCAACUUGAGGAGACAUACAUUCUUGUCCAAUGGCCGUAUGCUUCCAAUGCCAUAUGAAGAAACCGAUGAUCAUGUUGUAAUCGAUGGCCGUAUGAAUGAGUUUAUCAACUCACUGGUAGCUGAUGUUGCUGCAGAUCAGCAGCAGCUCAAGGUGGUAUCUGUCCUUGGAUCGGGAUGUCUGGGUAAAACUACACUUGCCAAAGUGCUGUACAAAAGAAUUGGGAUGCAAUUCGAUUGCAGAGCUUUCAUUCGAGUGUCCAAAAAGCCUGAUAUGAAGAGCCUUCUUCACAACCUGUUCUUGCAACUCCAUAAGAAGAAGCAGCCACUACCUGCCAAUUGUAAUGAACUUGGCAUCAGCGACAUUAAUAUCAGCAAACAUCUGCAAGAUAAAAGGUAUCUAAUAGUCAUUGAUGACUUGUGGGAUGCAUCAGCAUGGGAUAUUAUUAAAUGUGCUUUUCCGAAGGGAAGCCAUGGCAGUAGAAUAAUAAUAACCACACAGAUUGAAGAUGUUGCAUUAACAUGUUGCUGUGAUCACUGGGAGCAUGUUUUCGAGAUGAAACCUCUUGACGACGAUCACUCAAGAAAGCUAUUCUUUAACAGACUUUUUGGUUCUGAAAGUGACUGUCCUGAAGAAUUCAAACAAGUUUCAAAUGAAAUUGUUGAUAUAUGUGGUGGUUUGCCGCUAGCAACAAUCAAUAUAGCUAGUCAUUUGGCAAACCAACAGACAGGAUUAGCACUUGAUUUGCUGGCAUACAUGUGUGAUUCACUGAGGUCCCAUUCUUGGUCAAGUUCUACCUUGGAAAGAACGAGAAAAGUACUGAACCUUAGCUACAAUAAUCUUCCUCAGCAUCUGAAGACAUGUUUGCUGUAUUUUCAUAUGUAUCCAGAGGGCUCCAUAAUCUGGAAGGAUGAUCUGGUGAAGCAAUGGGUGGCUGAAGGGUUUGUUGCUACAGGAAAAGGGAAAGAGCAAGAUAAAGAAACGACAGAGAAAACUGCAGGAAUCUAUUUUGAUGCGCUUGUUGAUAGAAGAUUCAUUCAACCUUUAUAUAUCAACUACAACAAUAAGGUGUUGUCCUGUACAGUUCAUGACGUAGUACGUGAUCUUAUUGCAAAAAAGUCUGCAGAAGAGAAUUUCAUUGUGGUAGUAGACUACAAUUGA
rnacentral:rRNA from 1 species